GCUCCAUGCUAAGUACUAGUGCCGCAGGUGUCUGUGUUUCCUCGAACCCCUGCAGACUGGUGCUUAACAUGGGAC
rnacentral:pre_miRNA from 1 species